GCCAAAUGAUGCAAAGUAGAUGACAUUAGCACGCUGUGCAAAGAUGACUUACAUCUAUCACCCAAUACUGAUGGCU
ensembl:snoRNA SNORD83 Small nucleolar RNA SNORD83